rnacentral:rRNA from 1 species
UGAGCAACCUGCCCUUAGCUCUGGGUUAACCCCGGGAAACCGGGGCUAAUACCGGAUAUGAGUCCGAGCGGCAUCACGCGGACUGGAAAGUUUUUCGGCUAAGGAUGGGCUCGCGGCCUAUCAGCUUGUUGGUGGGGUAAUGGCCUACGAAGGCGACGACGGGUAGCCGGCCUGAGAGGGCGACCGGCCACACUGGGACUGAGACACGGCCCAGACUCCUACGGGAGGCA